rnacentral:rRNA from 1 species
UGGGGAAUUUUGGACAAUGGGGGAAACCCUGAUCCAGCCAUCCCGCGUGUGCGAUGAAGGCCUUCGGGUUGUAAAGCACUUUUGGCAGGAAAGAAACGUCGCGGGUUAAUACCCCGCGAAACUGACGGUACCUGCAGAAUAAGCACCGGCUAACUACGUGCCAGCAGCCGCGGUAAUACGUAGGGUGCAAGCGUUAAUCGGAAUUACUGGGCGUAAAGCGUGCGCAGGCGGUUCGGAAAGAAAGAUGUGAAAUCCCAGAGCUUAACUUUGGAACUGCAUUUUUAACUACCGGGCUAGAGUGUGUCAGAGGGAGGUGGAAUUCCGCGUGUAGCAGUGAAAUGCGUAGAUAUGCGGAGGAACACCGAUGGCGAAGGCAGCCUCCUGGGAUAACACUGACGCUCAUGCACGAAAGCGUGGGGAGCAAACAGGAUUAGAUACCCUGGUAGUCCACGCCCUAAACGAUGUCAACUAGCUGUUGGGGCCUUCGGGCCUUGGUAGCNCAGCUAACGCGUGAAGUUGACCGCCUGGGGAGUAC